rnacentral:rRNA from 1 species
CCGCAUGGUUCAAAAGUGAAAGACGGUCUUGCUGUCACUUAUAGAUGGAUCCGCGCUGCAUUAGCUAGUUGGUAAGGUAACGGCUUACCAAGGCAACGAUGCAUAGCCGACCUGAGAGGGUGAUCGGCCACACUGGAACUGAGACACGGUCCAGACUCCUACGGGAGGCAGCAGUAGGGAAUCUUCCGCAAUGGGCGAAAGCCUGACGGAGCAACGCCGCGUGAGUGAUGAAGGUCUUCGGAUCGUAAAACUCUGUUAUUAGGGAAGAACAUAUGUGUA